rnacentral:rRNA from 1 species
UCUGCGAAUGGCUCAUUAAAACAGUUAUUGUUUGCUUGGAAUUUCAUUCCACCGGAUAUCCGUGGAAAUCCUACAGUUAAUACGUACAUCCUUCUCGAAGGGUUGCAUAUUAAUCUGAACAGAUGAUAUGCUUGCAUAUCAAAUCUGAAUACUUGUGUGCGCGGAUCGUAUUUAUACGAGCGUCCAUCAAAGUUUCUGACCUAUCAGGUUCCGACGGUUGGGUAUUGGCCAACCGUGCCGAUAACGGGUAACGGGGGAUUAGGGUUUGAUUCCGGAGAGGGAGCUUGAGAGAUAGCUACCACAUCUAAGGAAGGCAGCAGGCGCGCAAAUUACCAAUCCCCGACACGGGGAGGUAGUAAACAGAAAUAAUGACGCAUGAUUUUAAUCGUGCGAUCGGAAUUAGUGGCUUCUAAACCAAGCCACGAACAAAAAGCGAGGGCAAGUCUGGUGCCAGCAGCCGCGGUAAUACCUGCUCGCUUAGCAUAUAUUAUUGAUGUUGCAGUUGAAACGUUCGUAGUCGACUCUUGUCUACUAAUGUAUGCAAUGUCUCUGAUGUUGUCAUACUGUCGGUAGAUAUUGUAUAGCUAUUUCAUCGCUUAGGCGUUGUUGUAUGCUACUUUGGAGGGGAAUCGGGGGGGUUUCCAACGCAGGCCCUUCCGCCUUGGAACGAUUUACCCAUAGAAAUAAAUAUAUUUAUAGCAAUACUCUUUCGUUUGUUCGAGGGGUACUGCUUAUAAUAAUAGGAACGGUUGAGGGGCAUUCAUAUUCAACUGCCAGAGGUGGAAUUCUUUGAUUAGUUGAGGAUGAACAAUGGCGAAAGCAUCUGCCAAGGACGUUUCCGCUGAUCAAGAACGAAAGUUAGGUGAUCGAAGAUGAUUAGAUACCGUCGUAGUCCUAACUGUAAACUUUACUAACCAAGCGUUGAAUUGGUGAAUCUAUGCUCCUUCAGUGCUUUUUGGGAAAUUAUAAGUCUUUGAGUUCUGGGGGGAGUAUAGUUGCAAGGCCGAAACUUAAAGGAAUUGACGGAAGGGCACCACCAGGCGUGGAGCUUGCGGCUUAAUUUGACUCAACACGGGAAACCUUACCAGGACAAGACAUAAGAAGGAUUGACAGACUGAUCGCUCUUUCUUGAUUUUAUGGGUGGUGGUGCAUGGCCGUUCUUAGUUCGUGGAGUAAUUUGUCUGGUUAAUUCCGUUAACGAACGAGACCUUAACUUGCUAAUUGGGAUAUGUAUUCUAUAUAUACUCUCUCUUAGAAGGACCAUGUGUACAUAACACAAGGAAGCGUGAGGCAAUAACAGGUCUGUGAUGCCCUUAGAUGUCCUGGGCAGCACGCGUGCUACAAUGAUGUAUAUAAUGUGUUAUGCCUUCCGAAAGACUGGUGCAAUCGUUAAUAUGCAUCAAACUAGGGAUUAUUUGUUGGAAUGUCAAAUAUCAACAAGGAAUGCCUAGUAAGCGUGAAUCAUUAGUUCACGUUGAUUAUGUCCCUGCCCCUUGUACACACCGCCAG